UACGUAGGGACCGAGCGUUGUCCGGAUUCAUUGGGCGUAAAGAGCUCGUAGGCGGCCACUCAAGUCGAAUGUGAAAACUCGAGGCUUAACCUCGAGACGUCGGUGGAAACUGCCUGGCUAGAGUCCGGAAGAGGAGAGUGGAAUUCCUGGUGUAGCGGUGAAAUGCGCAGAUAUCAGGAAGAACACCCGUGGCUAAGGCGGCUCUCUAGUACGGUACUGACGCUGAGACGCGAAAGCGUUGGGGAGCGAACAGG
rnacentral:rRNA from 1 species